rnacentral:rRNA from 1 species
GAUGAACGCUGGCGGCGUGCCUAAUACAUGCAAGUCGAGCGAACAGACGAGGAGCUUGCUCCUUCGACGUUAGCGGCGGACGGGUGAGUAACACGUAGGUAACCUACCUAUAAGACUGGGAUAACUUCGGGAAACCGGAGCUAACACCGGAUAAUAUUUCGAACCGCAUGGUUCGAUAGUGAAAGAUGGCUUUGCUAUCACUUAUAGAUGGACCUGCGCCGUAUUAGCUAGUUGGUAAGGUAACGGCUUACCAAGGCAACGAUACGUAGCCGACCUGAGAGGGUGAUCGGCCACACUGGAACUGAGACACGGUCCAGACUCCUACGGGAGGCAGCAGUGGGGAAUCUUCCGCAAUGGGCGAAAGCCUGACGGAGCAACGCCGCGUGAGUGAUGAAGGUCUUCGGAUCGUAAAACUCUGUUAUUAGGGAAGAACAAACGUGUAAGUAACUGUGCACGUCUUGACGGUACCUAAUCAGAAAGCCACGGCUAACUACGUG